AGGUGCAGACUUUCUUGCAGCCUUCAUUUCAAUACAAGGAACAAAUUACAGGAUAGUGAAUUUUCACCAUACAAAUCAUAAUUACCCUUAUAUAGCUAAUGCAACAAAGAUAAAUAUAAGUAAUUUCUCUCUCUUAAUAGAUAACACUGAUUGCUAGAGUUUGAAACUGCAAACCAAUGACAUGAUCAGCAUCUAACACCCUGGUAGUGGAAUACACUUGUUAAUUAGUAGUGCAACAUGUGGGGAUAACUGUGAAUCAUAUGACUCACCAAAGUAAUGCCUGGAUUCUUUCACCAUGAGAGUGGUUUAAAUGUGCUUCAUUUUGUUAGCAAUAACACAACAUAGAAUAAGAAAAGCACAUGUGCUCCAGAAUAGAACUGCUAUUUGCUUAGAUGUGCUUCCCUAUCAUGAGUUUCUGCACAAGACAUACUGGACAACAGCCACCACUAAGUAAACAGGAAGGGAAACUAUCUUGUAAGUAGUGGUAUAAAUGAGAAACUCAAGUGAAUUAUCAAAAUUAUGACUAAGAAUAAACAACAGAAGUGUAGGAAAAUUGGGUGGUGUCGAGUUGGGUAGUUUUUGCAUUUCAGGUUUCUAAAUUUUGCAAUUGUAGUUGAUACCAUUGUUGUUGCAGUUUGAGAAUGACAUAACGUGCUUACAUGUCUGUGAGAAAUGUGGGCAGGCACUAUAAAUCAUGCCUAAGUUUAAAGGAACUUCUAAUAUUUGGAGGCUAGAAUAAUGAAAAGCAUCACGUGUUUGGCCACACCUGAAACUUGAGUGGCCUGCUUUUCUUUUUUUAACUAUCCCCAUAAGUGAGAAAAGGAGAACCCAGGAAAAAAAAAGGGCACAGGUGAUUACUGAGGAAACUCAGAAUACGCCACAAACAAAUUAUCUACAUAUAUUCUCACAAAAUUAAUAUACAAGCCACAACAGGCAGUUCAAUGUACAUCAAUUAAAUUUCUGUUAAUCACUCAUGAAAAUAUCAUGAAAAUAGGUUUCAGGAACCUAAAAAUUUGUAGCAUUUCAAAAU
rnacentral:misc_RNA from 1 species